rnacentral:rRNA from 1 species
CACGUAGACGGACUUUUAAGUCAGGGGUGAAAUCCCGGGGGCUCAACCUCGGAACUGCCUUUGAUACUGGAAGUCUGGAGUCCGAGAGAGGUGAGUGGAACUCCGAGUGUAGAGGUGAAAUUCGUAGAUAUUCGGAAGAACACCAGUGGCGAAGGCGGCUCACUGGCUCGGUACUGACGCUGAGGUGCGAAAGCGUGGGGAGCAAACA